CAGUAGCCGCGGGAAUACAGAGGGUGCGAGCGUUAAUCGGAUUUACUGGGCGUAAAGCGUGCGUAGGCGGCUUUUUAAGUCGGAUGUGAAAUCCCUGAGCUUAACUUAGGAAUUGCAUUCGAUAAUGGGAAGCUAGAGUAUGGGAGAGGAUGGUAGAAUUCCAGGUGUAGCGGUGAAAUGCGUAGAGAUCUGGAGGAAUACCGAUGGCGAAGGCAGCCAUCUGGCCUAAUACUGACGCUGAGGUACGAAAGCAUGGGGAGCAAACAGGAUUAGAUACCCCCGUAGUCCCUGUCUCUUAUAC
rnacentral:rRNA from 1 species